GACGUAGGGCGCGAGCGUUGUCCGGAAUUAUUGGGCGUAAAGAGCUUGUAGGCGGUCUGUCGCGUCUGCUGUGAAAAUCCGGGGCUCAACCCCGGACUUGCAGUGGGUACGGGCAGACUAGAGUGUGGUAGGGGAGACUGGAAUUCCUGGUGUAGCGGUGAAAUGCGCAGAUAUCAGGAGGAACACCGAUGGCGAAGGCAGGUCUCUGGGCUGACACUGACGCUCAUGCACGAAAGCGUGGGGAGCAAACAGG
rnacentral:rRNA from 1 species